rnacentral:rRNA from 1 species
UACCGUCAAUCUACCACACGUGGUAGGGUUUCUUCCUGUAUAAAAGCAGUUUACAAUCCAUAGGACCGUCUUCCUGCACGCGGCAUGGCUGGUUCAGGCUUGCGCCCAUUGACCAAUAUUCCUCACUGCUGCCUCCCGUAG